AGUCUGCAUGGAGCCGACCUUGAAAUACCACCCUUUAAUGUUUGAUGUUCUAACGUUGACCCGUAAUCCGGGUUGCGGACAGUGUCUGGUGGGUAGUUUGACUGGGGCGGUCUCCUCCUAAAGAGUAACGGAGGAGCACGAAGGUUGGCUAAUCCUGGUCGGACAUCAGGAGGUUAGUGCAAUGGCAUAAGCCAGCUUGACUGCGAGCGUGACGGCGCGAGCAGGUGCGAAAGCAGGUCAUAGUGAUCCGGUGGUUCUGAAUGGAAGGGCCAUCGCUCAACGGAUAAAAGGUACUCCGGGGAUAACAGGCUGAUACCGCCCAAGAGUUCAUAUCGACGGCGGUGUUUGGCACCUCGAUGUCGGCUCAUCACAUCCUGGGGCUGAAGUAGGUCCCAAGGGUAUGGCUGUUCGCCAUUUAAAGUGGUACGCGAGCUGGGUUUAGAACGUCGUGAGACAGUUCGGUCCCUAUCUGCCGUGGGCGCUGGAGAACUGAGGGGGGCUGCUCCUAGUACGAGAGGACCGGAGUGGACGCAUCACUGGUGUUCGGGUUGUCAUGCCAAUGGCACUGCCCGGUAGCUAAAUGCGGAAGAGAUAAGUGCUGAAAGCAUCUAAGCACGAAACUUGCCCCGAGAUGAGUUCUCCCUGACUCCUUGAGAGUCCUGAAGGAACGUUGAAGACGACGACGUUGAUAGGCCGGGUGUGUAAGCGCAGCGAUGCGUUGAGCUAACCGGUACUAAUGAACCGUGAGGCUUAACCUUACAACGCCGAAGCUGUU
rnacentral:rRNA from 1 species